GCGCCCGCGGCAGCGGCGGGGGGGCCGGGGACCGGCUCUAUGGGGGCUCCGCGGGGGCGCAGCCCGCCUCUCCCUCCCAGCCCGCGGGGAGCACGCCCCCCGCCCGCCGCCCCCACGGGCCUCCCCGGGGCCGCCCGCGCCCCCCACGGGGCGAGGAGGGAUGGAGGGGCCACUGGGCCACCGCCCGGGGUGCCACUGCGUGUGUCCCCUCCCCUCCCCCCCGGGAAGGGGGGAGCGACAAAGAAUUGAGGUGCCUCCCUCGGGGCGAAGUGCGGGGCUCGCGCGGCCCCUUCUCCCCGGGGGUUCAGGCGGGGCGCCUGGCUGCUGCCUCACCUGUGCGCCCGGCGAGCCUGGGCGCAGCGCGGCCGGUUCCGUGCGCUGCCCCCGUGCUGCCCCCGCGCUGCCCCCGGGCCCAGCAGCGCGGCCCCGGCAGCACGCACGCCCCCCGCACCCGACCAUAGGGGCCGCAGGCCGCCGACCCCUGUGGCUGGGGCCGCAAGAAAGUAGCCGGCGCUCAACGUGCCGCCAAAUGUGGUCGGAGAAAGACAAGGCUCCUUUCUUGCCCCCUGCCCGUCCAAAAACGCAGCCCUCCUAACUUCCCGUCGCUGUGUCUUCAUUUGCUUUGUUGCGGGCUUUAGUGUCUCAAGAGGGACAACCUAGAGAGCCUGGGUUUGGUUUAUCUUUCUUUUCUUAACAUGUUUGUAUUGGAAUUAACAGUAGCCACGAAGAAGGCUGUAAACUGGUUUAAAUUAGGAUAACGUGUUUCUUGAUCGCUGACCAAAGAGGUGCCCACUGCCGAAACGCUGUGGUCCUUGGCCCUUCCUUCUCACUCUACCUUCCUCCUCCUCCCUGAAAACCAUACUUAGGAGGAAAAUAAAAUAAAAUAAAAGAAAAUAAAAGAAAAGAAACAAAAAGAAAGAAAGGGAAAAAAAAAAGGCCAUUGCGCUCAAAUUCUUGGGUCCAUGUGCGAAAGAUAAAAUGAAUUUGAAUUGCUAUUGGAAAAAAUCAGGAAUUGUAUGAGAUUUGCAAGAGCUAGUUUCUUAAACGGAAAUUGAGUCCUAUUUUGUGGGAAAUUAGUUUUGCAGACUUUCUAAAAAAAAAAAUCUAAAACUUUUGUUCAGCAGCUGCUCCACUUUUCCCUGCAGUUUCAGACUGAGCUGGAACCUGCAGCAGUCUUUCGACGAAAUCAUAUAAAAUUGACCUGAGUGAACCAGCGCACAAUUUCUCUGCUUCAGGACUUUUGUAGUCGGUAUUUCACUUUGGAGGCAAAAGCACCAUCUCCCUGACUAUUUAUCAGAAUUUUCCAAGCUCAAGAAGUAUUCUAAAUAGAGGAGAAAGCUUAACAAAUGCCAAACAUUGGCAGAAGAAGCUAUGAGGAAGCAGAGAAAAGACCAAGUGAUGUAAAUGAUAAAAGCUUUCUGGAAAAGAAUGUUGAAGUGGCUGCCUACUUGAAGAAACAUUUGAUUUUAACACCAUCCUUUUUUUCUGAAGUCAUAAAAUGUCUGUUCCUUUAAUCCUAUGAAAAUGGAACUAUAAAGCAAAAGUUAACAGUAUGCAGAGCAGCAUGCAGAAGCUACAGUUUGCACAAAGAGCACGAAUGAAUGCAGGAGAAGAAGAUAACAGACUGGCAGUGAUCCCAAGCUCCUCACACACUGAUGUUCAGGACAGCACAUGUGGGUGCCACAUGAGCAGGUGAAACUGUGAUCCUACAUGUGUGGAAGGGAGGAUAGUAAUUAAACAAUCAGAUGUGCUAAGUGUAUCAUGCUGGGACAUCGCUACAUUUCAGAUGGGUUGCGAGGUUUGAAACCUAAGGGGAUAACUCAGGAAGCAGCCAAGUUAAAACUGUAACUGUAAUUUUUUCCACAAAGUCUCUGGAGUGCCACAGCACCAGUCCUGUCCUGAUACACUCCCCAGUGGCGUUUCAGAUGUUUCACAGCCUAAGGCAACCAUUAGUCAUCCUUCAGCCUUUAAGACAGUAAGAUUUUUUGUGCUGGAUAAUCUACUGAAUGGCUUUACAGGCUGUGGCCCUUCCCCAAGAGAUUCCCUGCCACCGCCUGUUCCUGGGGUUGGUGACAUGGCCCUUGCAACAAGGUGAGCCUGGUAGGCCAGGGCCUGGGCACAGGCCCAGGCCAAGCAGGCUUCGCACUCUGCCCUCUGCUGACUGCAUGCCAAGCCGGCCCUGUGGUGCUGCAACUCCCAACGGCAUUGGCUGUAGGGGAUAGGGGCAAUAGAAGGGCACAAGGCAAGGAGUUAUUUCCUUCUGAUUUUAAUUGUGGCUACUGAACUCCAAACUGUAAUGAACAGAGGUGUAAUAAAUCACAAGGAGUUAAAAGUUGCCCUGGCUUUACAAGCAGUUGAAAGGUUUUUUCCACUCCAAUAUGGCCUUCUACAUCCUGAUUUGUCCUUCUAUUUUGACUGAUAAUAUUUACCUAGAAGGUUUUUUUAAAUGUCAUGCAAUUACAUUAAAAAACAAUCAUUAGUGGUAUUUCUUUUGAGGUAGAAGCUAUACUAUCAGGAGAACAUAGGUUUAGACUUUGCACUGCAACUGAACUAUUAACCUGAACUUCAUGGACAUGCUACACCAAAUAGCUAUACAUUUGUUCAGCUGGUUCUGGCCUUUUUUAAAGCAAAACCCAGGGAAAUUUCUCAAGAAGCGAUACAGAAGAGGGUCACAGAGGGCACCUGUCCCUCUGCUCCCAGCCCUGACCUGAGGAGCACCAUGGGGCCCCAUUGUUUCUCCUGUCCAACAUGACAUGCUUGCAGGGUAUUUAGCACUACUGCCCUGAUCUCUUACAUUGCCUCUGAGAAGUGCAGUCUCACAAGCAAUAAAUGCCCAUUAGUGAAUAUUUCACUCCACUGUCUCCUGCUGAAUACAAAGCAGCUUUUAGCUUUGUCUCUCAUGAUAGAAACCCUGUGUAGCAGGAGCCCAAGCUAUUUCACAGACCACCUGCCUUUUCUAAACCAUGUGAUGCCUACCAGGAAUUGUGAUGUGUGUUGUAUGUUAUUAAUAAAGUUAACAUUUUUAUUAAAUACUGCUCUCUUCUGGGAUUCUCACCCAACCUUAAGCAUAAUAAUCAAGAAAAGAAUACUUUCUGUCACAUUAUU